AAUUUUAAGCCUCCCUCUAAAUCUGAAGUUUGACCUACAUAUACAUAGACACCCAAAUGACCUCUCGACAAGGCGACUGACGACUCCGAUCUGCUGAUUUGUAGCUCAUCUCUGGUCUGUCAAUGAUCCAUUCUCUGAUCUAUAGCUCAUCUCCGACUGUUGACGGCGGCUUCUUCGAUCUAACUACUUACAAACUCCAAAAGUAAGCUCCCUAGCCUCCAUUCUCUACGACGACGACCCAUCUACGACGAAGAUGACCUAGAUACUAUGACGACCCAGGUACUACCCACUACCUAGUGACCUCUUGUCCUCCCUGACCCGGCUACCUCUGACAAAUUGAAGAUAAGACCCAACUCUGAAGACGGGACUACUACCCAGCUGUGACGAAGCGGCGACCCAUCACUCGUCUCUUCUUCGAUCCAUCGCUCAUCUCUUCUCUGAUCCGUCGGAUAUCGCUCAUUUGAGAAAGGUAUUGCUAAUCUUUCUCUUCAGUGUUUCAAUUCUAGCAGUAUAUGAAUGUUGUUGUGACUAUCUUUCUCUUGCAUUACACUAAUAGGAAUUGCUUGGACUAGGAGGUGUGGAAAGAUACAAGUAGAAAUAUGAUUAGUUAAGCUGUUUUGAUAUCGUAAUGCAGUUGAGUUGAGACUUGAGAUUAUUUGACUAGUGAAUUUGAAUGCAUGAAUCUAGUCACCGGAUGAACAUUGAAUACUAGUUUACUUUGUUUCUCAGUUUGUUAUAAACCAAUUAGAAUGAAAGGGGGGGGGGGGAGCCAAUUCACUUCUCUAUUGUUUCCUACUAUUCAGUGAAGUGUCCUAAGCUUUUGUUUCUGUUUCAUUAGUAGUUCCUGAUUGAAUAAUGGUAUGAAUGAUGAUAGUACCUCAACAGCAAUAGAAUAUGCAAUAAUCGUAUGAUGAUCGUUCCUGAUUGAAUGGGGUAUGGAAGUGAUCUAGCCUUGUGUUUCUAAUGCAUCCCUUACUACAAUUUUUUAUGAAUCGUCAUCAUUUCUUUCUGAUUCCAUUUCAUUGUUGCUCUGUUUCAAGAGCUUGGAAAUCCCUGAAAUCAUGAGCUCAAUGGCUGUAGGUUGGUCACGUCAUUAUGGAGGAGUGGUCGAAGAUGAAAUGGCUCAACCCAAUUUUCAAUCUGUCCUUCAACUGUCAAGUCACUUAGGGGGGAAGUAAUUACCUUACAUUGUUCUUAUUCUCCAUGUUAAGCAGUAGCAGCAGUAGCAGUAGCAGAGGCUAACAGCUACUAAAGUUUGAAGAUGAUCUUAGUAGCAAUAGUAGCAGAGCAUAAUUAGCAUCUGUGCCUUUCCGUGCAGAUAUCAUGUGCUAAUAUAGUAGUCCAGGAAGCAAAGACAGGAGGGGGAGGUGAAGGUGUGGCAGUAAUAUCAGGAGCAUCGGAUCAAAUCCAUAUAGCCAAAUGCCUCAUUCAUGGCUUCAUCCUAACAGGUCGUGCUGCAGCUUGACUCAUACUAUGUUGUAAUCUUGGUUAAGGGUCACUCUGUCUCUGUAUUAUCUCGCAAGUAGCUUUAGCGAAAAGAUUCCUCUGCCUGAGGCUGUUGUUGUUUGUCAUUCUCUAUUGUUGUGUUCUGCCAUUUGAGACCUUCUCAGCUGACGAAUUAUGGAUAUUGUGGAUUAGUGAAUCGAGCUUGGUUUAUUUGUUAUGUGUAUUGUUGUUUUUUAAUUAAUCUUUGAUUUGGUCCAACC
rnacentral:lncRNA from 1 species